UGGCUUGUAGCUCAAUGGCAGAGCGCCUGUAUUUGGAACAGGAAAUUGCUGGUCCGAAUCCAGCCAGGCUAA
rnacentral:tRNA from 1 species